GGUGGCUCAGUGGUAGAGUGCUUGCCUUACAGGCAGAAGGCCCUGGGUUCGAUUCCUCGGCACCA
rnacentral:tRNA from 1 species